rnacentral:rRNA from 1 species
GACGAACGCGGCGGCGUGCCUAAUACAUGCAAGUAGAACGCUGAAGGAGGAGCUUGCUCUUCUGGAUGAGUUGCGAACGGGUGAGUAACGCGUAGGUAACCUGCCUGGUAGCGGGGGAUAACUAUUGGAAACGAUAGCUAAUACCGCAUAAUAGUAGAUGUUGCAUGACAUUUGCUUAAAAGAUGCAAUUGCAUCACUACCAGAUGGACCUGCGUUGUAUUAGCUAGUUGGUGGGGUAACGGCUCACCAAGGCGACGAUACAUAGCCGACCUGAGAGGGUGAUCGGCCACACUGGGACUGAGACACGGCCCAGACUCCUACGGGAGGCAGCAGUAGGGAAUCUUCGGCAAUGGACGGAAGUCUGACCGAGCAACGCCGCGUGAGUGAAGAAGGUUUUCGGAUCGUAAAGCUCUGUUGUAAGAGAAGAACGAGUGUGAGGGUGGAAAGUUCACACUGUGACGUAUCUACCAGAAAGGACGCA